rnacentral:misc_RNA from 1 species
AAUCUUUCCUCUAUUGAAUUAAAUGUUCCAUCCACAUUCUCCUGCACAAUCCUAAUUCUUUCUUCCAAUUUAGCAACCCUAACCAGCUCGGAACUAACCACCUAAACCCCAUAGACCUAGUCUUUAUUAUGACAGUAAUGCAGUGAAACCUAAGAACUUCAAGGGCAGGGUUUCAGUAUAAUCUAGACUUUCAAGAACUUCAAGAAACAAAG